GACCAUAUCCAAAUACGAACGGAUAAAAAACACAGAGACGCGCACAGAGAGACAGGACCAGGAGCUUCACUUCACGGACUCGCCGGUGCUCCGCUCGGAAAGGGCCGUCGAUGGCCGCUCUCGCAAUCGGCGUCGCCGCCGGCGCAACCACCUCCAUGGCCGGCUCCAGAAGCUUUCACCGGCUCCGUCACGCGCCGACAAGAAUCUCCUGCGUCAAAUGGGAUCCGGAAGGCCUCUUCGGGCCACCCCAGACCGGCCACAUCGCCCGCAGCGAGUUCCGCCGGCGGCUGGAGAAGGACGCCGAGGCUCGCGAGGAGUUCGAGCGCCACGUCCGCGAGGAGAACGAGCGCCGCCGAGCCGUCCGAGAGUCGCGGGACGUGCCGGACACUCCGGCGGAGCUGGUCGAGUACUUUCUCGACACCGAGGCUCAGGAAAUCGAGUUCGAGAUUGCGAGGAUGAGGCCACGGUUAAAUGAAGAAUUCUUUGCCCACCUACAGUUUGAAUUGGGCCAACUUCGAUUUUCUGUUUCAAAAACCGAGGAUAUGGAAGACAGAUUGAUUGAGCUGGAAGCUUUGCAGAAGGCUUUGCUCGAGGGGACAGAAGCUUAUGAAAAAAUGCAAGUUGACCUUGUAAAAGCAAAGAACAACCUGACAAAAAUUUUGACAUCAAAAGAUGUUAAAGCGACUUUACUAGAGAUGGUUGAGCAGAACGAACUCAACAGAUCAUUAUUGACGCUUCUUGAUGAAAAUAUAGCAAAUGCUCAGAAGGGUAACCAGGAAAAAAUCGCAGCUUACAUGGAAAAACUACGUGCAGCUGUUCUCAAGUACAUGACAGUCUAAUCCCUGGUCAGUCCAUGCUAUGAUCUCUUGAUGAUGAUGAGUUGAGUUUUCAUUUCACAGGUCAUUAACCAUGGUUAAAUCCUUGUCCUGCUGGAGUUGAGGUCUGAAUGGGCAACUAAAUACCUAACUAACGCAUUAGGUGCGGCACCUCAGUUUUCCCAUGCCUUGUCCUCCUUUCAGCUAAAUUCGCAAAAUUGGGGGGGAGAUGUGGGGGUGGUCUGUAUCAUUUUUAAAAUUCAGAAAAUCACGUUUGCUACUCUUGCUAGCUGUUAUAAACAAAAUGUAUGCGACUUUAUGGGAACUUCAUUUUCCUUGUUUUGGGAUGGCACUGCUGGCAAAUCUCCACGGAUAACAAAAAAUUGGAGUUUUGCUGUUGCUGGUUGAGCGUCACAUCGCCAUGCUGUGUAUUCCCUUUGGGAUCCAUAGGGCUAGUCGGUUUGGAACUGUGUCAGGCUGUGAAAUUAAGCGUAUUUUGUUGCUGAAA